AACUGCUUCCGGGUUGGCGGUGCGCUCCCUGAGGGCAGGGCUCUGGGCAGUCCCCGGCGUGCUUCAGGGCGCCUGUGCACCACGUGAGCCCUCGCUGACCGGGAAGUCCCUGUUCCUGGGUCCCGCCCGAGUUCGUCCUUGAGCCAGAUUAAACAAUUUACAGAUGACUGCACUCUGGAAAAAACAAAACAAAACAAGCAAAAACUUGACAUCUCCAGCAUCAAAUAAGUGAAGCAGGGAGAAGACACCUUCCCAGAGGGCUGUCGGGAAAAUGAAGUUGAAGUGAUGUUCAUUACCUGUUUGACACCAUGCCUGGCAUUGUCAGCAAGUGAUAAUUAGAAAUUUGAGUAAUCUUCAGAAGCCUCAGCAACACUAUUUUUCUCCCUGUUUAUUGAUGCAGAGACGGGAUCAUCCACCUGCAACUGAGCCUGAAAAAUGCCACAGUAGUCACGAGAGGCUGGAGACCUUGACUGGCAGGCAUACAAUCUGGAGGCGGAGAUCUUUCUAUACUGCCUGCCCUUGCCUUGAUGAGUGAAAUGAGCCAUAUGCAAUAUGGAGCUGCCCCCAUUGAUAACCAUUAAGGAUUUCAUAAUUUUGAUUGUCAAGAUCAAUAUUGAGAUAAAUAUAGACAUCUCUGCCAGUUUAUGCAAAUGGGUAAAGAAGCUCCCUUAACCCUGCCUCUUCUUGGAAAGACACACAGAGGAGACAAGAGGAGAAAAGAUUGAGAAUGACAGUAAUGAGAAAAGGAACAUGUUAUCAUGAACAAUGCUGAGAUUGCAGGAGGGGAGAUACAGAAGCCAGCGUGAACCUUACCAAAGAGGAAAUACCCUCCCAAAAUAAAAGGCAAUCGUGUGUGUCACAUGCGACCAAGGUUAUUACCAAUUUGUUUACAAUGAAUUAUAUGUCACUGGGGCUAAUGACAAGGGCUCCUUCUGUCCCCUCUCCUCUGCCCUCAGCCAUCAAGCAGGUCUGAACCAUCAUUAUAGUCCAUCAAACUGAAGUCACUGCAGGAACUUUGGGGUUGUUUGCUCUGCUGCUGGCCUCUUGGGACUCAAAUCAGCUCUUCUUCCUUGGCUUGACUAUGUUAUGUUCAUGACAUCAGUUAGAGUUUACAAUUUAGAUAAUGUGAUAAGUCAGUAUACUAAUGAGUGAAAUGUGUAUUUAGAAAGGAGAUGAUACCAUCAUUGCUUUCCAAGGAGAUGACUAUAUGCCUAGAGAAUGCAUGAGAAGUAUGCAUGAGAGAAUGCAUGAGAAGAGAUACAAAAAUAAGUAUUCCAAAGCCUAGAUUUUUUUAUUAGCAAUAAUCAAUCAUAAAUUACCAUGAAAAGGAUAUGAUGUGCAACAGUUAUUGUUCUGUGAACCAGACAGGUGGGUGUGGAUUCCAUCCAGAGGCAGGGAAAUAUAACAAACAUCCCUAAGCCUGCACCUCACUUGACCCCUGGGUCUCUAAACCAUUCUGUUUUUGUUCAGAGUUCCACAAGGUCAAUGUUGAAAGUAUUUCCACCAGCUUCUGGCCAUGGUAAUCACAGGGGGGAAUAAACCAAGCCAUAUUCCCCAUCAUCCUCAUCUUCUCCUGAGACAAAAGACAUUUUCCCAAAAUGUUAACUGGUUGUUUGCCUCCAGCAUAGACAACCUUUUACAUAUUUCCUCAAAGUGGUUUUAGAUGCCUGGACCAAUUGCCAUUUGGACAGAAUGAUGUUUUUAGUCAAAGCAUUGUACAUUGUAAUGGGGUGAAUGAUGACUCCCUAAAAGAUAGGCCCAUGUCCAAUUCUCUAGAAACUCUAAAUGUGGCCUUAUUUGGAAAAAGGACCUUUGCAGAUAUAAACUAGAGUCCUGAGAGAAGAUCAUUCUGUAUUAUAUAGGGGGGCUGUAUAUCUAAUGAACAGUGUCUUAGACACACAGAGAAGCAGAGGGAGAGAAGGAGGCAGUGUGAACCUGGGGGCAGAAAUUGGAGUGAUGUGACCACAAGCCAAGGGAUGCCACAGAAGCUUGCUCCUGGACAAAAAGCAUUCUCCUUUAGACCCUCUGAAGAAAGGUUGGCCCUGCUGACACUUUGAUUUUGAAUUUCUGGUCUCUAGAAUUAUGAGACAGUAAGUUUCUGUUGUUUUAUGCCAUCUAGUUUGUGGCACUUUGUCCCAGCAGCCUUGGGAAACUCAGGGGUUGUAGCAUUAUCAAGCCAGGGUUUCAGUCCCAAAUCUGAUAUGACCUUGGGAAAGUUGACAAACCUCUCUACAGUUUUCACCAUAAAAUAGGAAUUAAAAUAACAGUAUAGUCAUGCACUGCAUGAUACCAUUUCAGUCAUGAUGGCCUACAUAUCCAACAGGGGUCGGUCCCAUGAGAUUAUAAUACUGUGUUUUUACUGUACCUUUCUGUAUUUAGCUAUGUUUGGACACACAAAUGCUUACCAUUGUGCCAGAGUUGGCUACAGUAUUCAGCACAGUAACAUGCUUUAUAGGAUUGUAGCCUACGAGCAAUAGGCCAUACUACAUAGCCUAGGUGUGUAGUAGGCUAUGCCGUCAAGGCUUGUGUGAGUACGCCCUCUGAUGUUUGUCCAGUGAUAAAAUUACCUAAUGGCACAUAUAUCAGAACAUAUCUCUGUCAUUGGGUAGCAUAAGACUUUAUGUUCCUUAUGUCAUGAGAUUAUUUAAAUAAG